ACGUUCGACGUUUGAUAGUUCAUCAAAUAGUAGCGCUGUUAUUUGGUCGAUUUGAUCACCUGUCAGCUGCGCUACUGUUUUAGCAGCGCGUUUAGUAGCGACCGGUAGAGUGUCAAGUAAUGAUACUGCGCUGAUAAACGGUUUAUACUCACCACCGAAAUGAAGCUUAUGAUAAAUAAAAUACUGCUGCUUGCUGGUCACUGAUUGAAGAUCGUUCAGUGGCUACCAUUGGCCAAUCUCACCAACGGGAUAUAAUAAGAACUGAUGCAGGUUUAUAUCUAUAUGUAUUGUCUAUUCGGAACAAAGUUAGUACGCUUUUUAAACCGAUGUUGGAUUUCUCUCCAGAUACAGGCAAC